CCCUCGAGGACACGCGGCCUGGGAAGCGCACUGGAGCCCCGAGCACGGCCGUCGCCGCCCAGCGAGCGCCGCCGAGCAGCAAGCACCUGGCCCGCGGCCUACGACUCUUUUUUGUGUCCCUCCACGUGGAAGCGACUUUCAAAUCAUCCCGAAAGCCUCAGGCUCUGCUAGGAACGGCCGCACAUCUGCCCCGGAGACCCCGGCCCUCGAGCCACCGGCAGCUCCCGACUCCGGGCGGUGCUGGCACCGAUGUCGGCCUGGGCCCGAGCGGUGCGGUCAGUGUCCCCCCCGGGUCCCGACCUUGAGGAAGGGUCUGAGCUGUGGCGGCGCGAGCCCAGAGCUGGCCACACUGUGUCCUCGCCUCAACGGAGCGCUUCCAAGCACCUGAGCCCCAGAAGUGUAGACAGUCCUCACCACAACGGAGUCCCCGAAUCCACUGUCCUUGGCCAGCUGACCCACGGCCCCUCAGUGACCCGCUCACAUGUGCCACGGGACACCCACUCCAGUUGAGCCACGUCGUGUCGAGCUUCUGUCCCGGGCACCAGCAGCGGGAACAGCCCAGCUGGAGAGGAGUGAAGAGCGUCUGCUGGAAGUUUCCAGUCCUGCCCAUCAGACAGUAUCAAGCACAGAGGUGCCUCUUUGCCUACAACCUGGGUUUUGACCUUUUUUUCUUUUUUCUUUCUAAUCAGUGAUGAAGGACAUCAAAUGAUAGCAAAGAUAAAUGCUAGCUCAAUUGUCAUAUUAUUAAAGCUGCAAGGGACCCUUGAUGUCAUCUGAUUAAGGUCCUUCAUUGUCCACACGCCAGAGCUCUCUGAGCCAGAGAGCACAGCUAAUUAGGGAACAAGCCGGUCAUUCCGGAAUCCUUGGACAACAAUGACCCAGGUUGGAUGAAAAAUGAUGCUGCUUGCAUUUAAUUAGUUUUUCUCUUCUGUUCACCAGCCCAGGGUAUUUUUCUCAAAUUUUCUGAAAUCGUGUCUAUUGAGGACUGUGACUCUCAGGAUUCGUACGGUAUGUUUUCAAGGGAAACCAUCCAGUUUCUGGAACUCUGAUGGUACCUCCAUUUGUCAGGACGAUUUUUUAUUUGAUUCCACCAAACGUGUUACAAAACUAUGUUCCAGCAUACGGUGUUAGAAGCUUGGCCGGGGCACAAUCUUAGCUUUGUGAAGACUGCACGAAGAUAAAUCCAUAAAUGAUUAUCGCACAAACACAAGCAGUUUCCGUAGAUACAUGUUUACAAAUACUAAUGAGGGACUCAGCAGUCCCGACUGCUCAGUUUGUGGCUUCAUCGUCUCAGCCGAGGCCUCCUCUCUGACUCACAUCCUCAGAGGAAGGCUCUCCAAUGCUCCAGUAUAGAAGGACAUAUAUCCCCCCUGCCCACUACCCGUCGGCCAGGACACGGCCCUGCCUGACUCCAGGGGGGAUGAGGUCUGGCGAGAAGGCAUCAUCUUCCCACACUGUGGAAGGAGGUGCCGUUCGUUAGAACACAGCCCAUGACCAUACUAAAUGCACUAGUGGCUGGGAAAUCGAGUCUAGUUGGCAGUCCAGAAGAGAGAGGAGAGCAUAGCUUUUGGUCUGCAGUUCCCGGCCGGGGGCUGGUGAAGUGAAGUGGAUCAGAUCGUCCUCUACCUCUGAUGCAAAACAUCCCCAGAACCAACCUACGUCCACGCGUGCCCUUCCUCAGCUACAUCACCCACAGCCCUCGUGGGUGCUCCAAAGAGCCUUCUUGGUUUCCCAUCAGGAGCUCCAAUGUCGAGGGUCCUGGUGUCUUUGGUGAGCCAGACUCCCUCUGGGGCAUGUUUCGGGCCCAGCAAGCUCCCUUGGGAUGGCCUGGACGCAGAGAGCAGACUCAUGGACAGGGUUUGGGCAGGACGUUCGAAGCGGCAGCCAUUCCCUGGGAAUUGGGGCCAUGAAGCACCUUAUCCACACGGAGGAUCUCCUUCCACUGCCAACCUUGGAGGAGUGGUUCCUCUCAAAGGUGAUUCCUAGAAACCUCUACUCUGAAGGCCUCUUCUUUCAACCAAGCGUCCAGCACAUCCUCACAACUCCCUAGGAACACUCAGAAGCCACUCCUCUCACUGUCGACAACACCACCAAAGCUCCUGAAUGUGAGGCAGGAGGCUGCAAGGCUGGGUCUUCACGGUGAGGAGGUGGAGCAGAUAGUACUCAGAGGCAGACAGGGUUGGGAUUGAAAGGAACUCCCAGCUGGCUAUUAUAAAUGGAGAUACAACAGGUAUGAACAAGCAUCCUUGGCCAGAAGAGGGGAGGAAGGAGGGCUCCAGAACAGAAUGCUGAGAGUGGAUGCCCAGGCUGUGGAGUGACAUAGAAGGGACUCAGAGAAGGCUUCAGGAGAAGAUUCGAAAGGAAGUUCACCACAGUGGGUAUCAACAGGAGCAAUGAAGCCAACACUGCCUUCAGCACAACGCAGAAAGGAAGAGAAAAUGAAAAGACACACACGGAGUCUUAAAAUCUCUGGGAAGAAGAUGCAGAGCAAAGAAGACAGACACACCAGAUUUCAUUCGCAGAAUGACCUUCGUUGAAAGAAACUUUAUCCAAGAGCUCUUCAGAGGAUUCCUUGCUCCCCGCAGCAAGCCCCAGGCCAUACUCACCUGUCCAGCUCCACCUGAAGGCAGGCCCAGGGAUCCUUAGCAGCUGCUACCCAGUCUUUUUCCUAGAACUAUGGCUUUCAACUUUA